UGGCGAACGGGUGAGUAACACGUGAGCAACCUGCCCUUGACUCUGGAAUAACAGUUGGAAACAGCUGCUAAUACCGGAUAUGACCUCUGACGACAUCGUCUGGAGGUGGAAAGCUCCGGCGGUCAAGGAUGGGCUCGCGGCCUAUCAGCUUGUUGGUGAGGUAACGGCUCACCAAGGCUUCGACGGGUAGCCGGCCUGAGAGGGCGACCGGCCACACUGGGACUGAGAUACGGUCCAGACUCCUACGGGAGGCAGCAGUGGGGAAUAUUGCACAAUGGGCGCAAGCCUGAUGCAGCAACGCCGCGUGCGGGAUGACGGCCUUCGGGUUGUAAACCGCUUUCAGUAGGGACGAAGUUCACAUGACGGUACCUACAGAAGAAGGACCGGCCAACUACGUGCCAGCAGCCGCGGUGAUACGUAGGGUCCGAGCGUUGUCCGGAAUUAUUGGGCGUAAAGGGCUUGUAGGCGGUUUGUCGCGUCGGAAGUGAAAACUCAGGGCUUAACCCUGAGCCUGCUUCCGAUAC
rnacentral:rRNA from 1 species